rnacentral:piRNA from 1 species
GCAAUUUCCUUCAGUGCGUGUAUGUGCGU